rnacentral:rRNA from 1 species
GAUGAACGCUGGCGGCGUGCUUAACACAUGCAAGUCGAACGGAGUUUACAUGUGAGCGGAGGGUGCUUGCAUCUAACAAUCUUUUGUAAACUUAGUGGCGGACGGGUGAGUAACGCGUGGGUAACCUGCCGUAUACAGGGGGACAACAGUUGGAAACGACUGCUAAUACCGCAUAAUGUUAUUUGGGGGCAUCCCUGAAUAACCAAAGCUUUAUGUGCUGAAAGAUGGUCUCGCGUCUGAUUAGCUAGAUGGCGGGGUAACGGCCCACCAUGGCGACGAUCAGUAGCCGGUCUGAGAGGAUGAACGGCCACAUUGGGACUGAGAUACGGGCCCAGACUCCUACGGGAGGCAGCAGUGGGGAAUAUUGGGCAAUGGGGGAAACCCUGACCCAGCAACGCCGCGUGAGGGAGAAGGCUUUCGGGUGUAAACCUCUUUAGCAGGGACGAAGAACGUGACGGUACCUGCAGAAAAA